AGAGUUUGAUCCUGGCUCAGGACGAACGCUGGCGGCGCGCCUAACACAUGCAAGUCGAACGAGCGAGAGAGAGCUUGCUUUCUCGAGCGAGUGGCGAACGGGUGAGUAACGCGUGAGGAACCUGCCUCAAAGAGGGGGACAACAGUUGGAAACGACUGCUAAUACCGCAUAAGCCCACGGGUCGGCAUCGACCAGAGGGAAAAGGACUGAGAGGUUGAACGGCCACAUUGGGACUGAGACACGGCCCAGACUCCUACGGGAGGCAGCAGUGGAGAAUAUUGCACAAUGGGGGAAACCCUGAUGCAGCGACGCCGCGUGGAGGAAGAAGGUCUUCGGAUUGUAAACUCCUGUUGUUGGGGAAGAUAAUGACGGUACCCAACAAGGAAGUGACGGCUAACUACGUGCCAGCAGCCGCGGUAAAACGUAGGUCACAAGCGUUGUCCGGAAUUACUGGGUGUAAAGGGAGCGCAGGCGGGAAGACAAGUUGGAAGUGAAAUCCAUGGGCUCAACCCAUGAACUGCUUUCAAAACUGUUUUUCUUGAGUAGUGCAGAGGUAGGCGGAAUUCCCGGUGUAGCGGUGGAAUGCGUAGAUAUCGGGAGGAACACCAGUGGCGAAGGCGGCCUACUGGGCACCAACUGACGCUGAGGCUCGAAAGUGUGGGUAGCAAACAGGAUUAGAUACCCUGGUAGUCCACACUGUAAACGAUGAUUACUAGGUGUUGGAGGAUUGACCCCUUCAGUGCCGCAGUUAACACAAUAAGUAAUCCACCUGGGGAGUACGACCGCAAGGUUGAAACUCAAAGGAAUUGACGGGGGCCCGCACAAGCAGUGGAGUAUGUGGUUUAAUUCGACGCAACGCGAAGAACCUUACCAAGUCUUGACAUCCGUUGACCGCUGUAGAAAUACAGUUUUCCUUCGGGACAGCGAGACAGGUGGUGCAUGGUUGUCGUCAGCUCGUGUCGUGAGAUGUUGGGUUAAGUCCCGCAACGAGCGCAACCCUUAUGGUCAGUUACUACGCAAGAGGACUCUGGCCAGACUGCCGUUGACAAAACGGAGGAAGGUGGGGAUGACGUCAAAUCAUCAUGCCCUUUAUGACUUGGGCUACACACGUAUUACAAUGGCGUUAAACAAAGAGAAGCAAGACCGCGAGGUGGAGCAAAACUCAGAAACAACGUCCCAGUUCGGACUGCAGGCUGCAACUCGCCUGCACGAAGUCGGAAUUGCUAGUAAUCGUGGAUCAGCAUGCCACGGUGAAUACGUUCCCGGGCCUUGUACACACCGCCCGUCACACCAUGAGAGCCGGGGGGACCCGAAGUCGGUAGUCUAACCGCAAGGAGGACGCCGCCGAAGGUAAAACUGGUGAUUGGGGUGAAGUCGUAACAAGGUA
rnacentral:rRNA from 1 species